rnacentral:rRNA from 1 species
UAAGGAAUAUUGGUCAAUGGGCGGAAGCCUGAACCAGCCAUGCCGCGUGCAGGAAGACGGCCCUACGGGUUGUAAACUGCUUUUGCAGGGGAAUAAACCCCGAUAUGUAUAUCGGGCUGAAUGUACCUUGAGAAUAAGGAUCGGCUAACUCCGUGCCAGCAGCCGCGGUAAUACGGAGGAUCCGAGCGUUAUCCGGAUUUAUUGGGUUUAAAGGGUGCGUAGGUGGCCUGUUAAGUCAGGGGUGAAAGACGGUAGCUCAACUAUCGCAGUGCCUUUGAUACUGACGGGCUUGAAUGAACUAGAGGUAGGCGGAAUGUGACAAGUAGCGGUGAAAUGCAUAGAUAUGUCACAGAACACCAAUUGCGAAGGCAGCUUACUAUGGUUUUAUUGACACUGAGGCACGAAAGCGUGGGGGUCAAA